UACGUAGGGUGCGAGCGUUGUCCGGAAUUAUUGGGCGUAAAGAGCUCGUAGGCGGUCUGUCGCGUCGGUCGUGAAAACUUGGGGCUUAACCCUGAGCUUGCGGUCGAUACGGGCAGGCUAGAGUUCGGUAGGGGAGACUGGAAUUCCUGGUGUAGCGGUGAAAUGCGCAGAUAUCAGGAGGAACACCGGUGGCGAAGGCGGGUCUCUGGGCCGAUACUGACGCUGAGGAGCGAAAGCGUGGGGAGCGAACAGG
rnacentral:rRNA from 1 species